rnacentral:rRNA from 1 species
AGUGAACGCUGGCGGUAGGCCUAACACAUGCCAGUCGAACGGCAGCACAGUAAGAGCUUGCUCUUACGGGUGGCGAGUGGCGGACGGGUGAGGAAUACAUCGGAAUCUACUUUUUCGUGGGGGAUAACGUAGGGAAACUUACGCUAAUACCGCAUACGACCUACGGGUGAAAGCAGGGGAUCUUCGGACCUUGCGCGAUUGAAUGAGCCGAUGUCGGAUUAGCUAGUUGGCGGGGUAAAGGCCCACCAAGGCGACGAUCCGUAGCUGGUCUGAGAGGAUGAUCAGCCACACUGUAACUGAGACACGGUCCAGACUCCUACGGGAGGCAGCAGUGGGGAAUAUUGGACAAUGGGCGCAAGCCUGAUCCAGCCAUACCGCGUGGGUGAAGAAGGCCUUCGGGUUGUAAAGCCCUUUUGUUGGGAAAGAAAAGCAGCAGGUUAAUACCCCGCUGUUCUGACGGUACCCAAAGAAUAAGCACCGGCUAACUUCGUG